rnacentral:lncRNA from 1 species
UUGAAGCUACAGUUCAUCCACAUUGGUGUUCAGCAUUAGGUUCCUUCUUUCGCAACAAGGUUUUGCUACGAUUCUUGAUUUUAGUGGUGCUGCCGUAUGGCUGCAAGGAUGUUGGUGUGGACGUGAUUCUGUGGCUGCUAGCAUUGCUGUUGGUGAAUACGUCUAGAUUGCGGUUGUGAUUGUCCGGCUGACAAACAAAGAGUACUGGAUAUCAAUUGCCAACAAUUCUUCUUCGGCAGCCAUUUUUGUUGUUUCCUCAAAGUGAUUGGCUGUAGGGAGGAAGCAUGGAGGGUUGGCUGUGUGUUUCAAUUUAGAUCUUGGUAGUUUGUGGGGGUUGUGGCGCCAUCAUCUAUGCCUUGAUUUUUUGUCUCUCGCGGAGUGCUGUUCCGUGAUGUUGUUUUCGUGGAGUGGCAACGUUGUCAUCUUGGAGUAGAAUGCGCAAUCUUGAUAAUAUUGCCCCUGUGCCAUUGAAGAGGCUCUAGUGUAGUUCCCUGUUCCAACUCCUUGUUUUUUUCUCUUUGAUUGGUUAUUACUGAUUGAGUUUUGUCAUUUUAGUGUUUUUUUAUCUUCUGUUUGUUCCGUGACUUGUGGUCAGGCUUUGAGUGUGUACUCUGUUGCAUUGGCAAUCAAUAAUUCUGGCAUUCGAAACUGCGUGGCUUGCAGAGGUCUUCUUGUUCCAAGUCUGAAAUUCAAUCUGAUUUCUUAAAAAGGUCAAGGGUCAUUUGAAGCAGUGGAUUGUGAGUGUUUAAGAUAGCUGCCUUGUAGCAAGUAUAUCUUUCUGCUCUUGUUGGACGUCAGGGGAUAAUACUGCUUUCAACAAAUGGAACGGGUUAUUUUAGUAUUUAAAUUGUAGACUGGAGAGGGAUGUUUGGGACCUAGAUUGUGAUUUGCAUGUAGUGAGUGAGGCUGAUAUUGGAGCUUCUAUUGACACUUCCGGAGAAGCAAUGUGAUCCAGACUUCAGUGCUGAUGAAGUUGAUUCUUUUUUCUAAUUCAAAUUCCAAAUUCUAAUUCAUUAUGGUAGCAAUGGUGUGGCAAUUGUUCUGCAAUCACCUUGGUCCAGGCUCAUUCCCGACACCCUCUUCAGUGGUGAAGAACCUCUGCUUGGCAGAAGAGAAUCAUGGUGUGGAUCUGCGGCUUUAGUGCCCAACCUUCAAAUGAAGCAGAGGUCCAUGCUCAUUUCCCAACGACCCUCAUCUUGGCAAGGUGAUUGGCUCUUAGACAAUUAGGUUAGAAGUAGGAAGUUAGGGAUUUACAAAAAAAUAUAUAUAUAUAUAUAUAUACAAAUCAAAUACAAAUACAAAUUGGAUGAAUAGUUUAAUCAAAGAUGAAUUUUUAAACAUGGAUAAAGUAUGAGGAUGAAUUGUUAUUCAAGGAUGAAAUUUUAUUCAUGGAUGAAUUUUAAUUAAAUAGAAAC